rnacentral:snRNA from 1 species
GUGCUCGCUUCGGCAGCACGUAUGCUAACAUUGCAAUGAUACAGAGAAGAUUAGCAUGGCCCCUGCAAAGGGUGACACGCAAAUUUGCGGAGUGUUCUGUAUUUUU